rnacentral:rRNA from 1 species
GUACGGGGGGGGCAAGCGUUGUUCGGAAUUACUGGGCGUAAAGGGCUCGUAGGUGGCCAACUAAGUCAGACGUGAAAUCCCUCGGCUCACCCGUGGAACUGCUCGGGUAUACUGGGUGUCUUGAGCCACUUAGGGGCUACCGGAACAAAAUGGUGGAGCGGUGAAAUGCGUAGAUAUCAAUUUGGGAACGCCAAUGGUGAAAACAGGUAGCUGGGAGUGUGCUGACG